rnacentral:misc_RNA from 1 species
GAAAUGCGAUAAGUAGUGUGAAUUGCAGAAUUCAGUGAAUCAUCGAAUCUUUGAACGCACAUUGCGCCCCUCGGUAUUCCGUGGGGCAUGCCUGUUCGAGCAUCAUCUACACCCUCAAGCUCUGCUUGGUGUUGGGCGUCUGUCCCGCCUCCGCGCGCGGACUCGCCCCAAAUGCAUUGGCAGCGGUUCCUUGCCCCCCUCUUUGCGCAGCACAUUGCCAUUCGAGGCGGCGUCGGCCCGCGUCCAACAAGCUCAACCCCCCCGUCUUUGACCUCGGAUCAGGUAGGGAUACCCGCUGAACUUAAGC